GCCCCCGUGGCGGAAUGGUAGACGCAGCUGACUUAAAAUCAGCCGCCUUUGGCGUGUCGGUUCGAUCCCGACCGGGGGUA
rnacentral:tRNA from 1 species